rnacentral:rRNA from 1 species
UACGGGGGGGGCAAGCGUUGUUCGGAAUUACUGGGCGUAAAGGGCUCGUAGGUGGCCAACUAAGUCAGACGUGAAAUCCCUCGGCUUAACCGGGGAACUGCGUCCGAUACUGGCAGGCUUGAAUCCGGGAGAGGGAUGCGGAAUUCCAGGUGUAGCGGUGAAAUGCGUAGAUAUCUGGAGGAACACCGGUGGCGAAGGCGGCAUCCUGGACCGGUAUUGACGCUGAGGCGCGAAAGCCAGGGGAGCAAACGGG